UCUCUUAAGGUAGCCAAAUGCCUCG
rnacentral:ncRNA from 3 species